AUUGAACGCUGGCGGCAUGCUUUACACAUGCAAGUCGAACGGCAGCGCGGGCUUCGGCCUGGCGGCGAGUGGCGAACGGGUGAGUAAUACAUCGGAACGUGCCCAGUAGUGGGGGAUAGCUCGGCGAAAGCCGGAUUAAUACCGCAUACGACCUGAGGGUGAAAGCGGGGGAUCUUCGGACCUCGCGCUAUUGGAGCGGCCGAUGGCAGAUUAGCUAGGUGGUGGGGUAAAGGCCUACCAAGGCGACGAUCUGUAGCUGGUCUGAGAGGACGACCAGCCACACUGGGACUGAGACACGGCCCAGACUCCUACGGGAGGCAGCAGUGGGGAAUUUUGGACAGUGGCGAAAGCCUGAUCCAGCAAUGCCGCGUGUGUGAUGAAGGCCUUCGGGUUGUAAAGCACUUUUGGCGGGAACGAAAAGGACUGUGCCAAUACCACGGUUCGAUGACGGUACCUGCAGAAUAAGCACCGGCUAACUACGUG
rnacentral:rRNA from 1 species